GGGGAGCGGUGCGUAACGGGCGCGUGACCCGGCGUCCUGCGGGUCUUCCCCUCCUCAGGGGCACCCAGCAUGCUUUGGGCACGUGGCAGCUUAUGUCCUAAAUAGGAGCAACCCUGGGCCGCUAUCCUGUGAGGGUGGAGACGCUCCCCGCUCCCCGAGACUGGACAGACACCGAGAGGUGGAGCUGAGCUAAUACGAGGCUAAGGGAAUCCCAUGUAUUCCAGUUACCCUGAACUCCCGUACAGCAGAGGAUGCCCCCGAGCUUCGGAGCCACCAUCUCUUACUAGGAUUCCAGGAUCCCUUUCAAGGCUUCUACCUGGAGCAACUGCCCACAGUUCUGCCUUAAGAGUGCCUGAGAGACCUGGCAUCACAGCCUGCCCUCCAAAUCAUCACUCACUCUGCCAGGCACACCAGGUCUUCCUCCCCUUACUCGCCGCACCAAAGAAAUCAAAACCCAAACUGAGGUAUCAGAAACAUGUUCUUUUUUUCUUUUAAUAGUAAACCUCUUUACAACAAAUAUAGUGAAAGAGUUUUCAAACCAAACUCAUAAGAAUCUCGAGGACUUUUCUUAAUGUGCAGAAUACUAGAAAGCAUCACCGUACAGCACGGAAAGAAAUAAUGAAAACAAACCAACAGCCACACACUUGGACUCACCCAGACCCAGGAGCCAGGAGUGUGGGUGAUUGUCAAGUUUCGGGACAGGUCAGCUCUUGGCUGGCCCAUCCCUCCCUUCUUCCCUCUUUCUGGGACUUGAAUGGGGUAGAGAAUUCAGAUUCUCCUUGGGAAUCUCAGCCCUCCUGCCCCAUUACAUCCCACCCCUUCUGCUUAUGUAGAGGCAGACAGGGUAGAACAAGGAGCUCCCAGCCUCUAGGAGAGCCUACAUUCCCCCACAGGGAUUCCAGAGAGUUAGGUAAAAAUAUAUAUAGAGAGAUUUAGAUACUUUUUCAUCAUUUCUGUCUCUCCAAACAAAUAAAUAACGAGCAAGAGAA
rnacentral:lncRNA from 1 species